UACAGAGGUCUCAAGCGUUGUUCGGAUUCAUUGGGCGUAAAGGGUGUGUAGGUGGCGCCGUAAGUGGGGUGUGAAAUCUCGGGGCUUAACCUGGGAAUGGCCAUGGAAACUGGCGAGCUGGAGUGUGGCAGAGGGGGGUGGAAUUCCGCGUGUAGCAGUGAAAUGCGUAGAGAUGCGGAGGAACACCGAUGGCGAAGGCAGCCCCCUGGGCUAACACUGACGCUGAGGCACGAAAGCGUGGGGAGCAAACAGG
rnacentral:rRNA from 1 species